CAGAAUGCCAAGCAAGGUGCUGCUCUCAGAUCACUCAGAGGAGCCAGCACAGGCACUGUAGAGCUGAACUAGCUCACAUCAGCUAGCAGAUCUUUCCCCUCCGAUAGCUUCACCAGACUCUAGGAUACAGAAUGCACAGAGAAGCUGACGUUUGGAGAUAAUUGAGGUGAACCCACAGCAUCCCUUCUCCAUCCGUUUAAAUAGGAUCUUUCCAGAUUAAAUUGAUAAAGGAGCUCUAACUGGCUCAUGUUGGCUUGCUAAUCAGCCUGAGAAGCUGCUGAACACUCACAGAUGGUGGCCUUCACAAAACCAUGGAGCAUUUUGCAAAGUUGUAAGCUGUUGCUGUAUGGAGGAGAAAUGCCACGCUGACCUCAGCUGUCUGGGGGCAAAGUGGUUCCUGGGAAGCACCAAAAUUACACCAUGGGCUGGUUCCUCCUCUGGCAGAGAGACUCAAAGCAAAACCCCACAGGGAGCAGCCACAUCUGGAGUUUGGCAGCUUCCUGGGACUGGUCCAGCUCCAUUCUUCUUGCUUAGGUAUAUGGAGGUGCCCAAGAAGUUCUGCCAUGGAGACCUCACUGCCAUCUGCAGCAGGCUGAGAAGUGACUUGCUGCUGUGAUGCAAGGCACCCCAUCACACAGAGAUCCUAUUCUGGGAUUUCUGGCCAAACCCCAUUGUGUUCUUCAGUACUCAGGCACUGGCCUAACUUUCAGUUUCAACCUGCAUGUCACCACUGGAAAAUGCUACUUCCCGUUAACAGAAAAUAGACCUUUGCCCAAUAUG